AUGCACAAGGAAAAAAAGGAUGCAUGUGGAACAAGCGUGCAUCCGACCAUCCAUAACGCCACCCUUCCCACCGGCUCAACAGGGCCGUCUGAAGCCCCGGAGCCGGAGGCGCCUCCGCAGCCACAGGUUGCACGACAAGGCUCCCCCACCCCCUCCCGCGGCAGUUCCGGAGCCUGCGGGUCGGGUCGGCGGUCCGCUCCGCCGAGUCUCCCCGAGCCCUCCAGUCUCGCUCCGCCGCGGGCACUGCAGCUCACACCACUCUCGCAAGCCACCAGAUGUCCACAAGGUAGUGGAACAAAUCUCCACAAAAAUUUGAGGACUCCUAAGACCCACCUCAGGGCUACCUUCUGUCUGUAGUUGCACCACUCAGGAGGCUAAGGCAAGAGGAUCACGGAUUCAAGGGAAGCCCAAGAAAGGACCAUUGCUAAAGCACAGGAGCAAGACUUUUAAGACAGAAAAUGUUUUUUCCUUGUAACUUUACCUUUGUUCCUGUACUGAAGAAAGCAACAG
rnacentral:lncRNA from 1 species